rnacentral:misc_RNA from 1 species
UCAACCCUCACGCCCGGCUUGGUGUUGGACUCUGGUGCCGCCCUGGUGCGGACACCGGUCCCAAAGACAAUGACGGCGUCUGUUGGACCCUCGGUACAAUGAGCUUUUCCAAAGCACGUACCGAGUUGCAAGGUCCUUCAGCCCGGCCUCAACCCCAUAUUUUUACAA